CCCCAGGGCCGGGUUUCCACACCCGAAAUGCCGCAGCCCGGGCAGGACUUAGCUCGGGCAGGGCUUGCCCUCAGGAAGGAUUUAUCCCUCGCUGUAGGGCUGUAGUGAAACUGUGUGGAAGUUCACCUUGCAGAUCAUCUCCAGAUCCAUCAUCACGAAGCUGCGGCAGGAGGACCUUGCCCUGACCAACACCAGACUACUGCUUUGUCUGCAGGAACUGGGAGCAGAAGCAUGCAGCCCUCUGCAACCUCUAUGGCAGCAUUUCCAGGCCUUAAUCUUCUGCCAGUUACAGUUCCAGUUGCUGAUAAAAACAGAAGUCUCCGCAGUGAUCAACGUGGUGGAGAGGUGAUACAAGAGGUGUAAUGAGAAAGGGACUGAACACAAUAGAAAGGUGUUAUAAGGGAAGGAAAAGAGGACUGCUCGCCUGUCUCCAGAGAUCUAGGCUCACGGGGGGAAAACUCUGCAGAGGAGGGAUCUCUGGAAAGAAAACCUUCCAGUUCCAGUUCCUGAUAAAAACAGAAGUCUCCGCAGUGGUCUGUAGCAGCUGAGCAUUCUCAAGGCUGGUAUUGCUGUUCUCUGUACACUAUUUUCCUUCUUUAUGUGCUCACUAUUGACUUUUCAAUCUUAAGUAUAUUACAAAAAAUGUUGAAAACAUACUUGCCCUUAAAGUGAGUAAGGUAGCAAGCUGUGGAGCAGACUUGGGUUCAGAUUUUCAUUGCAGUAAUCAUUUUGAGACUCGUUUGCUUCUGUCAGUCCUGUAACAUAAAAAUCUUUUGCAAGGGAAAAACUUCAGUGCGUUCUUUUUGUCUUUGUUAUUUCUGAGAUCCUGGCUACCACGCGGGACAGUAUGGGUAAGUGACAAACAAACACACAGUUUUUUCUGGGGAGAGCAGGGUCUGAUGUGCGGGCAUGAACUAUUAAAUCAGCCAGUUGAAUGAAGCUCUCGUUACUUCAUUCUACAUUGCAGAGUUCUCCAUUAGCCACAUAAGGAGCACUGGAACUAUAAAGUAAAAAUGCUAUGCUGCUCUCAACAGGAAAAAAAAAGUGUCCUGUAGAAACAACAGGACUCUGAGGGAAGGGGGAGGAGGCGCUUAGAAGAGCUCUGUGCAAACAGUGGUGUACAGGUUUUGCUGAACUGCUUACAUGAAGUGAUUUUCUUUCAGGCUUGACCAUAUCUCUGUAGUCACAUGCCAUACAAGACUCUCCC
rnacentral:lncRNA from 1 species